rnacentral:rRNA from 1 species
GAUGAACGCUAGCGGCAGGCUUAAUACAUGCAAGUCAAGGGGGUAGCAAUACAACCGGCGCACGGGUGAGUAACGCGUACACAACAUACCAUAUACUGGAGUAUAGCUUUGGGAAACUGAAGGUAAUCCUCCAUAACAUUGCGAGAGGGCAUCUGAUUGCAAUUAAAGUUUCGGCGGUAUAUGAUUGGUGUGCGUUUGAUUAGCUAGUUGGUAGGGUAACGGCCUACCAAGGCGACGAUCAAUAGCUGGCGUGAGAGCGCGACCAGCCACACUGGAACUGAGACACGGUCCAGACUCCUACGGGAGGCAGCAGUAGGGAAUAUUGGACAAUGGAGGAAACGUACUGAUCCACG